rnacentral:rRNA from 1 species
UACGUAGGGCGCAAGCGUUGUCCGGAAUUAUUGGGCAUAAAGAGCUCGUAGGCGGUUUGUCGCGUCUGUCGUGAAAGCUUGGGGCUUAACCCCAAGUCUGCGGUGGAUACGGGCAGACUAGAGGCAGGUAGGGGAGAACGGAAUUCCCGGUGUAGCGGUGAAAUGCGCAGAUAUCGGGAGGAACACCGGUGGCGAAGGCGGUUCUCUGGGCCUGUACUGACGCUGAGGAGCGAAAGCGUGGGGAGCGAACAGG